AGACAACAGAUGUCCAUGCACCAUCAGUCAAGUAUAGAAGUUUAUGUAGAAAGCAGGCAGUGUUUUCCUCAGUUGCUCAUUUGCCACUGACUGAAGUGCUGUAACUACACUUAACAGCAGACAAAGUCCAAUUACAAUGGCAUAAAAAGUCCUUAUUUGUCAGAUGAUCUGCAGAAUCUGCCAGUCCAACUUGAGACUCCUGGAAGAGCAAGGUAGUUUAAUGGUGGGUCAAUGAGAAAGAAACAGAACAACAGCAUCUCAGAAUUCCCAGUUGUUUUAUAUAUUAGCAGGUAACGUUGAGAUUCUGAAUCAAAUGUAACUGUCUAUUGUUUUGCUUUCCUUUGGAAAAAACCCACCAAAACAAGUAAAACUCCAAACCACCAGAGACCCCUUUAAAACACAGGAUUCUGCACUUAGCAAGUAAUCAAUGUGGUUAAUGAGAAAUUGGGGUAGGGAAAAAAUAGAUCCCAUUAGUGAGGGAAACAUCAUAGGGGAGAAAACACCUAACACUGAAACAUCAACUUCUUUUAUCCCGAAGGUAUAUUUCUAUUUCAGGGCCAAAACAGUGAACAAGAAAGUGAGCAAAAGCAAUCAUCUCUGCUUUGAAUGAGAUAGUUGGGAGAACAUGGAAUUCUCUGUUGAAGGAAGUGGGUGGGAGAUUCAUUUUACCUAUACUUGCCACAUAGAAACGGUGAGAUUCAGGAUGACCUCUGCAGUCAGAGGAGAGGGAGGCAUCUCCUGAGUGUGACACAGCUCUCCCAAACCAGAUGUCUGGUAGGUGAGAUGUACUUACCUCUAGGGGUGCCUAACUCUCUCCGUUGUCUAAGUCAAUGAAAUAAAAUGAGUAAAAAAAUCAAUGCUGAACUGCAGUUAGCAAGGGAAGCAAAAUUAAGAGUGUUCAACUUAAUGCUCUAUUUCUGCAUUAGGGUGGGAUGAAUCACACCCUGGAGGCUCAGAUGUGCUUCUGAACUAACUAAAGACAGAGCCGAAAGCAAGUUGAUGUGCUGCUGAACUAACUUUUGAAGGACUGGAAGGAGAUCAGAUGAAUUUUUUUAACAGUCCUGAUCAAAUUUCUCAGUUCACCCUGGAUACAUCGAAUUCCAGCUGCACCUGCGUGUGUGAAUUCACCAGCUCCAGGGAAAUUGUUAGGAAGAUACUCUGAGGAAAAGCUUAUGUAAGUAGUGAGCAGAGCAAAUACCAGUAGAUGGCAGUCCAGAAUAUGCAGCAUAGAUUCUGGACCUUGUAAUACCCAGCAAAAAAUAUCCCUCAGUUCACUGCAUCUGAGAUCUUGAACACAACUCUGCAGAGUGCUUCUUAGAAAACAGACUGUAGAGGCUACUCUGUCCCACCUUUGGCAAAUGGGAAAGUCUUUUGUCUUUUAGUUUGAACUGCUUGCACAGAC